rnacentral:rRNA from 1 species
ACUCCAACCCCUGUGACAUACCACUUGUUGCCUCGGCGGAUCAGCCCGCUCCCGGUAAAACGGGACGGCCCGCCAGAGGACCCCUAAACUCUGUUUCUAUAUGUAACUUCUGAGUAAAACCAUAAAUAAAUCAAAACUUUCAACAACGGAUCUCUUGGUUCUGGCAUCGAUGAAGAACGCAGCAAAAUGCGAUAAGUAAUGUGAAUUGCAGAAUUCAGUGAAUCAUCGAAUCUUUGAACGCACAUUGCGCCCGCCAGUAUUCUGGCGGGCAUGCCUGUUCGAGCGUCAUUUCAACCCUCAAGCCCUCGGGUUUGGUGUUGGGGAUCGGCGAGCCCUUGCGGCAAGCCGGCCCCGAAAUCUAGUGGCGGUCUCGCUGCAGCCUCCAUUGCGUAGUAGUAAAACCCUCGCAACUGGAACGCGGCGCGGCCAAGCCGUUAAACCCCCAACUUCUGAAUGUUGACCUCGGAUCAGGUAGGAAUACCCGCUGAACUUAAGCAUAUCAAUAAGCGGGGGAAA